UACCGUGAGGAAGCGUAGUUUUGUAGGCAACUCGGAGGAGAUCAGAGCCAUGCUACUGAAGCCUUUGUUUCAGAUUAAUUGGUAAAGGCUCCUGGACUGUCUCUUUUUCAGUAAAUGUGGUUUGAGAUGUAGAAGAGCGCGCAUACAGCAUAUGGAUAUCUUGCAUCUGCCUUGAAACGGUGUGAACAUCAAUCAUUCCAGCGACCUCACAGUUAAACAUCACGUCUUACAGGAAGCUGUU
rnacentral:lncRNA from 1 species